rnacentral:tRNA from 1 species
GCCUGGGUGGCUCAGUCGGUCGGGCGUCUGACUUCGGCUCAGGUCAUGAUCUCGCAGUCUGUGAGUUCGAGCCCCGCAUCAGGCU